UGAUGAGGUCGAGUAGAGGUCU
rnacentral:siRNA from 1 species